UAAGAUUGUUUAGAAUUCUUUUCUCAUAGUGGAAUCAGGAGACGCACAUGGUCACUGGCUCUCUAGUUUUAUUUCAAGCUUCAAAUAUUUGCAAUUCUUUAUUUUUCUUUGCCAGACUUUUGGCUUUGAUUCACUUCAUUAUUUGUUCUAUUUGUAUUCUUUACUGAGACUGAAAGCAUUACACUUCCAUUUGCUGCUUUCAGUUUACAUUUCCAUGAAAUGUACAAGGUCAAGUUAAUUAAUACACGGACAAGCUUCACACAGGAUAGGGAAAUCGAGAGUGAAGCUAUUUGGCCAAAAGGAUCCAUUCUGAUGAGCAAACCAGAAUGAUAUGCUACAGGAAAUACACUGGCAUUGCAUUAUGAUGCAGGGUUUUGCUACCACCCUAAUCUUGGAGGCAAAUAAGUGAUCUGGACUUAGAAAUAACCUUCAAAGGCUCUUAUGGAGUGAAAGUUAUAAUUUAAGUGGUAACCAAUCAACAUGUGUCUUAUUGAAAUAAUUAUGAAAAAGCUUAUGUUGGAGCAGUGAAAUUGAAGUUACUGAAAAAAGGUGGAUUUGUGGCGUGGGAAGAGAAGAUUUUGAUAAAAUGUGGAGUUAUGGAAUUUGCAUCAGAACUGAAGCCUCAUCCAGAUUUGGGGUAACGAGGGAGA